GCCGCGGUCGCAUAAUCCGGUAUUGCGGGUGACUGAAACCCACCUGCCAGUGAUGGUGUCUGGGUUCAAAUCCCAGCCGCGGCG
rnacentral:tRNA from 1 species